ensembl:snRNA U6 U6 spliceosomal RNA
GUGCUCACUUUGGUAGCAGAUAUACUAAAAUUGGAAUGAUACAGAGAUUAGCAUCACCCUUGCAAAAGGAUGACAUACAAAUUUGUGAAACGUUCCAUGUUUUU